rnacentral:rRNA from 1 species
UACGGGAGGCAGCAGUGGGGAAUAUUGCACAAUGGGCGCAAGCCUGAUGCAGCCAUGCCGCGUGUAUGAAAAAGGCCUUCGGGUUGUAAAGUACUUUCAGUCGUGAGGAAGGUGUUAAGGUUAAUAACCUUAGCAAUUGACGUUAGCGACAGAAGAAGCACCGGCUAACUCCGUGCCAGCAGCCGCGGUAAUACGGAGGGUGCGAGCGUUAAUCGGAAUUACUGGGCGUAAAGGGCACGCAGGCGGUUAAUUAAGUUGGAUGUGAAAUCCCCGGGCUUAACCUGGGAAUGGCAUUCAAGACUGGUUAGCUAGAGUCUUGUAGAGGGGGUAGAAUUCCGAUGUGUAGCGGUGAAAUGCGUAGAGAUGUGGAGGAAUACCGGUGGCGAAGGCGGCCCCUGGGACAAAGACUGACGCUCAUGUGCGAAAGCGUGGGGAGCAAAC